GUGGGGAAUCUUCCGCAAUGGACGAAAGUCUGACGAAGCAACGCCGCGUGAGUGAUGAAGGUCUUCGGAUUGUAAAGCUCUGUUAAUCGGGACGAAAGAGCCUAGUGUGAAUAAUGCUAGGAAGUGACGGUACCGGAAUAGAAAGCCACGGCUAACUACGUGCCAGCAGCCGCGGUAAUACGUAGGUGGCAAGCGUUGUCCGGAAUUAUUGGGCGUAAAGCGCGCGCAGGCGGAUCUGCCAGUCUGUCUUAAAAGUUCGGGGCUUAACCCCGUGAUGGGAUGGAAACUACAGAUCUAGAGUAUCGGAGAGGAAAGUGGAAUUCCUAGUGUAGCGGUGAAAUGCGUAGAUAUUAGGAAGAACACCAGUGGCGAAGGCGACUUUCUGGACGAAAACUGACGCUGAGGCGCGAAAGCCAGGGGAGCGAACGGGAUUAGAUACCCUAGUAGUCC
rnacentral:rRNA from 1 species